UAGCCUGAACGGCUUGAUUCUCUCUAGAAUCAAUUGGCUUAGUUGUUGCGAUGUUGUGUUUGCAAACUCGAACUUUUCGAGUUGGGUAGAGUUCUACCAAGUGUUUCGUUACAGCUAAUCCAAUGUAACGAGGCAUCUACUUCCUGUUUAUUUUGACCUGUCUGUCAAAUUUCUUUACACCGCCUAUAUGGCGGUGUUUUUUUA
rnacentral:other from 1 species